ACGCUCGACACCUACGGGAGACAGCAGUGGGGAAUAUUGCACAAUGGGGGAAACCCUGAUGCAGCGACGCCGCGUGGAGUAAGAAGGUCUUCGGAUUGUAAACUCCUGUUGUUGGGGAAAAAGAGGAUGGUACCCAACAAGGAAGUGACGGCUAACUACGUGCUAGCAGCCGCGGUAAUCUGAGCGGGCUGGCAAGGC
rnacentral:rRNA from 1 species